GUUUUCCACAGAGAGGACGCCGUGGCGCCCGGGUGCAAGGCCAGCGGGCGCGGCAGCCGCGUCACCCACCUCCUGGGGUACCCGACGCAGAACGUCAGCCGCUCCCUGCGCCGCAACUCCAGCCCACACUGUGAAGAGCCUUGUGCCCACAGCUGUGCACAUCCUGGGCUUCCUCCACACCUUGUCCAUAAACUGCCCCUCAGCUACCUUCAGACCCAGGAUACAGGAGAACAGAUGCAAAAACUAUUGCUCAAGGAAAAUAAAGUGAAAACGAGGAAAAGCAAAAGAAGAUCUGGAGAGGGCUCUCACCUGACCACAAGCAUCCUGGAGCAAUGAGUUUCAGGCAGGAAGACUCAUCCUGAGCUGAGCUGCUUUUCUUGAAGUUGUGCAAGAACGUCCUGUUGGCUGGGGCAAAUUCAGUAUUUCUUUUCCUGGCCACUGUGCUGGAGCGUGAGGAAAGACUCUCCACCCUCACUCCCAGAUCCUGCAGGAGGCGUGAGAGCGGAUGGAGAUGGUGAGGAUGUCUAUUAAUAUGGUGUUUCCUGCAAAACGGUGC
ensembl:lncRNA SNHG28 small nucleolar RNA host gene 28